GACGAACGCUGGCGGCGUGCCUAAUACAUGCAAGUAGAACGCAGUUGCGAACGGGUGGGUAACGCGUAGGUAACUGCCUGGUAGCGGGGGAUAACUAUUGGAAACGAUAGCUAAUACCGCAUACUACCAGACGGACCUGCGUUGUAUUAGCUAGUUGGUGGGGUAACGGCUCACCAAGGCAACGAUACAUAGCCGACCUGGGAGGGUGGACGGCCACACUGGGACUGAGACCCGGCCCAGACUCCUUCGGGGGGCAGGAGUAGGGAAACUUCGGCAAUGGGCGGAAGUCUGAACGAGGCAAGCCGGGGGAGUGAAGAAGGUUUUUGGAUCGUAAAGGUCUGUUGUAAGAGAAGCGGUAUCUUACCAGAAAGGAACGGCUAACUACGUGCCAGCAGCCGCGGUAAUUC
rnacentral:rRNA from 1 species